UGGGGAAUAUUGCACAAUGGGCGAAAGCCUGAUGCAGCAACGCCGCGUGAGUGAUGAAGGCCUUCGGGUUGUAAAGCUCUGUCUUUUGGGACGAUAAUGACGGUACCAAAAGAGGAAGCCACGGCUAACUACGUGCCAGCAGCCGCGGUAAUACGUAGGUGGCAAGCGUUGUCCGGAUUUACUGGGCGUAAAGGAUGCGUAGGCGGAUUUUUAAGUGAGAUGUGAAAACCCUAAGCUUAACUUGGGGACUGCAUUUCAUACUGGAAAUCUAGAGUGCGGGAGAGGAGAAUGGAAUUCCUAGUGUAGCGGUGAAAUGCGUAGAGAUUAGGAAGAACACCAGUGGCGAAGGCGAUUCUCUGGACCGUAACUGACGCUGAGGCAUGAAAGCGUGGGUAGCAAACAGGAUUAGAUACCCUGGUAGUCCACGCCGUAAACGAUGAGUACUAGGUGUAGGAGGUAUCGACCCCUUCUGUGCCGCAGUUAACACAAUAAGUACUCCGCCUGGGAAGUACGAUCGCAAGAUUAAAAACUCAAAGGAAUUGACGGGGGUCAUAGCUGUUUUCCU
rnacentral:rRNA from 1 species